UUUCUCUUUAUUUUGCUUCCUCCUCUCUUUUCUUCUCCUGCAAGAAACAGGCAGGUUGAGAAACUUGACUUUGAACAGGAGCAGAGCGAAGUAUGCACAGGGCAGGGGAGAACAGGCAGCAGGAAGAUUAAUUACCCUCGUUGGAAUCUAGCUUGACUGGGCAAGAAGGAGUUGAAUCAAAACAGCUAACCUGUAAAUGGACCACUGAAAACCAGUCCCAGUUUCUAAUCCGGGAGAGGUGGUAUUCUGUGAGGCAUGCAUCACUUGGAAUGGUAAGCAUAACAUGUUCCAU
rnacentral:lncRNA from 1 species